rnacentral:rRNA from 1 species
UACAGAGGUCCCAAGCGUUGUUCGGAUUCACUGGGCGUAAAGGGUGCGUAGGCGGUCGGGUAAGUCUGAUGUGAAAUCUCACAGCUUAACUGUGAGACUGCAUUGGAUACUAUCCGGCUCGAGGAAUGGAGGGGAGACUGGAAUACUUGGUGUAGCAGUGAAAUGCGUAGAUAUCAAGUGGAACACCAGUGGCGAAGGCGAGUCUCUGGACAUUUCCUGACGCUGAGGCACGAAAGCCAGGGGAGCAAACGGG